CUUAGCGCGGUGGUCCCACCUGACCCCAUGCCGAACUCAGAAGUGAAACGCCGUAGCGCCGAUGGUAGUGUGGGGCUUCCCCAUGCGAGAGUAGGGAACUGCCAGGC
rnacentral:rRNA from 1 species